rnacentral:misc_RNA from 1 species
GAAAUGCGAUAAGUAAUGUGAAUUGCAGAAUUCCGUGAAUCAUCGAAUCUUUGAACGCACAUUGCGCCCUCUGGCAUUCCGGGGGCAUGCCUGUCCGAGCGUCAUUACGCACCCUCAAGCCCGGCUUGUGUGAUGGGCCCCGGCGUCUCGUUCGCGAGACGGGCCCGAAAGGCAGCGGCGGCGUCGACCCGAUGAGCCCGAGCGUAUGGGGACUUCUGUCACACGUUCGCGGUGCGGACCAGCGCCUGCUUGACUUUUCUGAUUAUCCAGGUUGACCUCGGAUCAGGUAGGGAUACCCGCUGAACUUAAGC